UAGGUGAACCUGCGGAAGGAUCAUUAUUGAAAUAAACCUGAUGAGUUGCUGCUGGUUCUCUAGGGAGCAUGUGCACACUUGUCGUCUUUAUAUUUCCACCUUGUGCACCUUUUGUAGACCUGGAUAUCUCUCUGAAUGCACACAAGCAUUUGGGUUUGAGGGGUUGACUUUUUUGGUCUCCCUUUAUAUUUCCAGGCCUAUGUUUCUUUCAUAUACCCCACUUGUGUUAUAGAAUGUAAUAAAAUGGGCCUUUGUGCCUGUAAAGCUAUACAACUUUCAGCAACGGAUCUCUUGGCUCUCGCAUCGAUGAAGAACGCAGCGAAAUGCGAUAAGUAAUGUGAAUUGCAGAAUUCAGUGAAUCAUCGAAUCUUUGAACGCACCUUGCGCUCCUUGGUAUUCCGAGGAGCAUGCCUGUUUGAGUGUCAUUAAUAUAUCAACCUCCUCAACUUGUGUUGAGUGUUGGAUGUGGGGGUUCUUUCUUUGCUGGCUUCACGGUCAGCUCCCCUGAAAUGCAUUAGCGGAACAACCUGUUCACUGUUCAUUGGCGUGAUAACUAUCUACGCUGCUUGUUGACAGUGAAGCAAGUUCAGCUUCUAACAGUCCAUUAAAUUGGACAAAUUUUUAUUAAUGUGACCUCAAAUCAGGUA
rnacentral:rRNA from 1 species